AGUACUAGUAGAGGUUAUUUCUCGUUUGUGUUUCUAUUAUUUUAAGUUAAUAACUUUGAACUUAAUAAAUUACUUUGUAAUGAGUAAUAAUAAUAUAACGCUCUUUGUUGUAAUAAUUUGUGCGAUAUCGGUAGUGGCGCUGACAGCUUCAAGCGGGUGCAAGCUUAAAAAGAAUGCAGUCAAAAAGAAAAUAAAGCAGUACAAAAGUAAAUGUCUAAAGAAAGGAUUCCAAUCAUCUAUCGAUUGCAAGACUGAAAGAGGAAAAUUGAGCAAGAAGGCCACGAAGAAAUGUCGCAAGCUCGAAGGGAUUUUGAAAAAGUGCGACUACUCCUGCCUGCCCCCGAUUGAUGGAGGUUGGACUGACUACAGAGAAUGGACCACGAUAGUUUGCUCCGCGCCAUGUGGGGAAGGAAAGAAAAUAAGGAGAAGAUCUUGCAGUAACCCAUCCCCAACGUUUGGUGGAGUUGACUGUGUUGGCAAAGCUGAGGAAUCCCAAAGUUGCAAUAUAAAAAAAUGCCCAGGAUGGUCAAACUUUGGAGAUUGGUCUGCGUGCUCUGUAACAUGUGGGGGAGGGGAUCAGGUAAGAAGAAGAUUGUGCAAUAACCCUGCCCCAGCGUUCGGUGAACCUGACUGUGUUGGCAAUGCUGAGGAAUCCAAACGUUGCAAUAAAAAAAGUUGCCCAGUCAAUGGAGGAUGGUCAAACUAUGGAUCUUGGUCCGCGUGCUCUGUAACAUGUGGGGGAGGGUAUCGGGUAAACAUAAGAUAUUGCAACAAUCCUGCCCCAGCUCAUGGUGGCAGAUCGUGCUCUGGACCUUCCGUCAUACACCAAAGAUGCAACACUCACUACUGCCGCUACGGGUAGUUGUAAUUAAAUAUGGAAAAUUAGUUAUAACUGAACUGCACGGAUAAACACUUUAUUUAGUUUCUUUUUUUUUUAAUGAAAAAAAAAGCUAUGAAAAACGGUUAAAAAAAGUGAGCAUGCGGAACUGGAAAAUAUUAAAAAUUGUUUUGGAAUCGAACAGACAAUGACUUGAAUGUUAAAUUAAAUUAAAUUUUUAGUUUAAGCUUGAUAGAUUAUUGAUUUUAUUUUACAUACAUCGCAUGAAACAUAAAGUUCUAGUUGCCGACAAAUUAAUCAGUAUU